GCAGUGCUCCGGUCUGUCGCUGGCAUCUUUCAGGUGCGAGAGGAAAGUCCGGGCAGCAUAGGGCAUCCCACUUCCGAAACUAGAAGCUAUUGGUGACAGUAGGUGUCGGUAGAAGAAAAUAACCGCUUUCACUUAUCCCGUUUGUCCAGUCUGGGGUGGUGAGAGUAAGGGUGAGAAGGUGGUGUAAGAGACCACCAGCUGGCGGGUGAUCGUCAGGCUGUGCCAUCUGGGAGCUGUAAGCUCAUGUAUACCGCAGAUUGAGGGCGGCUCGUCCGAUUGCCUUCGGGCUGCUGUGGAGGGUAG
rnacentral:RNase_P_RNA from 1 species